AGAGUUUGAUCCUGGCUCAGGAUGAACGCUGGCGGCGUGCUUAACACAUGCAAGUCGAACGGGAAUGCUUCGCUGAUGCGAUUUCGGUCAAAUCUUGAAGCAUUCUAGUGGCGGACGGGUGAGUAACGCGUGGGUAACCUGCCCUGUACAGGGGGACAACAGUUGGAAACGACUGCUAAUACCGCAUAAGCGCACAGCUUCGCAUGAAGCAGUGUGAAAAACUCCGGUGGUACAGGAUGGACCCGCGUCUGAUUAGAUAGUUGGUGAGGUAACGGCCCACCAAGUCAACGAUCAGUAGCCGGCCUGAGAGGGCGAACGGCCACAUUGGGACUGAGACACGGCCCAAACUCCUACGGGAGGCAGCAGUGGGGAAUAUUGCACAAUGGGGGAAACCCUGAUGCAGCGACGCCGCGUGAGUGAAGAAGUAUUUCGGUAUGUAAAGCUCUAUCAGCAGGGAAGAAAACAAUGACGGUACCUGACUAAGAAGCCCCGGCUAACUACGUGCCAGCAGCCGCGGUAAUACGUAGGGGGCAAGCGUUAUCCGGAUUUACUGGGUGUAAAGGGAGCGUAGACGGUAGACCAAGUCUGAAGUGAAAGCCCGGGGCUCAACCCCGGAACUGCUUUGGAAACUGGUAAACUAGAGUGCAGGAGAGGUAAGUGGAAUUCCUAGUGUAGCGGUGAAAUGCGUAGAUAUUAGGAGGAACACCAGUGGCGAAGGCGGCUUACUGGACUGUAACUGACGUUGAGGCUCGAAAGCGUGGGGAGCAAACAGGAUUAGAUACCCUGGUAGUCCACGCCGUAAA
rnacentral:rRNA from 1 species